rnacentral:rRNA from 1 species
AUGACCUCAAAUCAGAUGAGACUACCCGCUGAACUUAAGCAUAUCGCUCAGUUUGAAAUCUGGCAGUCAUUCACUGUCCGAGUGUAAAUUGAAGAGAGUGUCAUCCACACUGGACCAUGUCUAAAUUGUAAUGAUCCACAGUCCUUUGAUGGAGUAUCAGAGA